UGGCCGUAAACGAUGUGGACUUGGUGUUGGAAUGGCUCCGAGCUGCUCCAGUGCCGAAGGGAAGCUGUUAAGUCCACCGCCUGGGAAGUGCGGUCGCAAGACUGAAACUUAAAGGAAUUGGCGGGGGAGCACCACAACGCGUGGAGCCUGCGGUUUAAUUUGGAUUCAACGCCGGACAUCUCACCAGGGCGACAGCAGAAUGAUGGCCAGGUUGAUGACCUUGCUUGACAAGCUGAGAGGAGGUGCAUGGCGUGUGACUGU
rnacentral:rRNA from 1 species